AAUCUGCUAAAGUUUAAAGGACGUCCUUUUUUCUCUUCCAUCCGUGAAGGAUCCAUGCCAUCAUCGCCAUACAUGAAUUGAACUAUACAUGCGCUAGCAUUUCUUACAGUGCUGUCAUAAUAAACAGCAAGGUCCUCUAAAGCCUUCAUAAGUCGACGAGACAUGUAUCCGGUGUCAGCAGUUUUAACCGCUGUAUCAACAAGGCCUUCUCUUCCUCCCAUUGUGUGAAAAAAGAACUCAGUUGCUG
rnacentral:misc_RNA from 1 species